UAGUCGGAGGUGUGUCUCGGACGGUCGGUUCGCCGCUUGUCGGUGCUCAACUGGCCGGUCCGGACGUCCUGCCGGUGGGGCUGUAAAAGGCUCCGUUAUCCUUCUUUGGUCCUCUUCAUUGAGUGCCUUGGUGGGCCGGCACGUUUACUUUGAACAAAUUAGAGUGCUCAAAGCAGGCCGUUGGUCGCCUGAAUACUGUGUGCAUGGAAUAAUGGAAUAAGACCUCGGUUCCAUUUUGUUGGUUUUCAGAACUCGAGGUAAUGAUUAAUAGGGACGGACGGGGGCAUUCGUAUUGCGACGUUAGAGGUGAAAUUCUUGGAUCGUCGCAAGACGAACCGAUGCGAAAGCAUUUGCCAAGAACGUUUUCGUUGAUCAAGAACGAAAGUUAGAGGUUCGAAGGCGAUCAGAUACCGCCCUAGUUCUAACCAUAAACGAUGCCAGCUAGCCAUCCGCCGAAGUUCCUUAUAUGACUCGGCGGGCAGCUUCCGGGAAACCAAAGCUCUUGGGUUCCGGGGGAAGUAU
rnacentral:rRNA from 1 species